rnacentral:tRNA from 1 species
GGUAUAGCUCAGUGGUAGAAUAGUUGUUUAGCAUACAUGAAGCCCUAGGUUCAAUCCCCAGCACCA